GCCGCAUAGAUCGAAUCCGGAACCCCAAUUCCCGGCCAGCCAGCCGCCAUCGCCGCCGCCGCCGCGAUGAGCGUGGUGGGCUCGACGUCGGCAACGACACGCUGGUGGCGGCGGCGGCGCGGCAGUGGGGGAUCGACGUGCUGCUCAACGCCGAGUCCAACUCCAAGCGCGAGUGGCCCGCCGCCGUUGCCUUCUCCCACAGCGCGCGCCUCCUCGGCGCCCACGCCGCAGGCGUCGCAUCCUCCCAUGCCCCCUUCUCCAUCCCCAAGCGCCUCCUCCUCCUCGGCCGCCGCCGUCCCAGCGCAGCACCCCCCUCGCACAGCUCGGCCGUCGCUCGCCCACGCACCGCUCCCCGCUCCCCGCUCGCCCCGCUCGCAUUGCCUCUAGGUCGACGCCGGCGAGACCGGACAAGGGACAAGGGCGACGCCGGCGAGACGCAGUCGCCGCUAGGGACGGGGACGCACGCAGGACGGCCGUUGGUCGUGCGUGUGUGAGCCAGCAGUGCGGCGGCGCCGAGUCCUUCGCCACCAGCACUCUCGGAGCUAGAUGUGCUUUCGGGCUCCUUUUUCCCCUUUGUCUUUCUACUCAUAGGGUAUGCUUUCCAAUGGGAAGGGGCACAUACCAAGUGGUUCACAUUCCAAUUGCAAAGCAGGAGCUAGAUGACGCUGAUGAUCUUUGUAUGUUUUAGUGGCCCUUCCGAAGGAUCUUCACAUUAAAGGCUCCUCAUGUUCUCAAGAUUAUUCAGGUAGUAAAGCUUUGAGAGUGAUUUAUUUUUGGUUCCCCUUGUGUUUCAGAGAAAGCAAUUGACUGUAUGUUAUAUGGUUUCCCUUUUGUUUGAUAGCAAGCAACAGACUGUAUAUCUCAACUAAUUUACUCAUACGUGUGAUUGGAAAGAUGCCAACUAUUUGUUCUACGACACUAUUAUAUUUCAGGGUAAAAUCAACCUUCAGUUAGAAGGACAUAAUCAGGCAGGAGCUUCAUGCAGGGUUGGAUGUGAGAGGCCCUAAAUGCAUUUAGUAUGUGAAAAGAUCAGUCCAGUGCUUGUUCCAAGUUUGUUACCUUUGGAAAAUAUAAUGGAACUGGGAUAAUUCUUUCUUGGAAGCAUGAGUUAACCACAAGGAAUCUUCAUGCUUUUGCACCGGGUGUGAAAUCAACUUUCAAAGAUUGACGUGUCUAUUGUUUUUGCCUUUCUCCACAUGAAAAAAGGGAUUGGUCAGGCUGAUUUGUGUUUGUUCAAGCAGACCACAAGGAACCUCUGACGAAGAUUUAUGAGGUGAAGGACUCAAACUGUAUCUCACGUCAACUAGGCCACACCUGGGUUAGCCACCAGCAGCCUUCCGAUUGCACCACUGGUGUGCGUGUGCCUCUCCGAGUCUCUGUCGGCUGGCUGUUCUUAUUGAACAUCGCCAUAUAGCUCCUCACCAGCAAACUCAUGUGCUUCUCCACCAGAAUCAAUUCCCGAGCUGUUGAUCUCCUCUAUUACUCGAAGGAUAUGCCCAAGGUAAUUUGUUCCACAAGAUGAGUUUUGCAGUAUUUGUAUGAACUAGAGUAAUGUACUAUUGCUGUAGUGUACAUGCAUGGUUCGAAAAUCCUUUCUUUUCCAGUUAUAGAUUAGAACGGAAAUUUUAUGAUUUGGUCUGCAUUUUCAUAAUCAAAAUGGGGUGUUGAAGUAGUGUAAAUUGUUUAACUUGCUUUUUGGCCAGUAUCCCUAUAUAUGUGGAUGUAUGGUUGCUUUUUCACAAUCAAUUUGUAAUGUUGCUUAAUGUACUGUUUGAUCUGCUUUCUUAGUCUGUAUCCGUGAAUCGAUGCCCUUAAGCUCCUUUUGAUUUCUAUAAUUCGUGAGCACAUAUGAGCAUCAAAAGAAAAUAUACCAUGAUGAAACGUAAGCAAGCCUUGAUUAACAAACUGGUAUUUUUCUACCAUUACAAGUGCAGCAAAAAGAAAAUACAAUCUCUAUAAGCUCCGCGGCCUUAAGGCCAAUCCCCAGGUUGAUGAUACUAUUCUACUGACUUUGCCACACUCCUAUUACAGUUAAUAGUUUAAUUUAUCAGAGAAACUGGAUCAAUGCUUGGGGCUGGUGUGCUACGAUUGGUAUAGGCAUGAGUACGAGAAGGCGACGGCCACCAUAAGAUACUCUCAUGAUUCAGGACAGGUUUUGAUUUUGCUGCUAUUAGGAGAAAAAAAUAAGAGAGAAAGUAUUGUGAUUUUUGCUGCUACUAUAUGAAUAUAUGAUGCUUUGUUAUUACUGUUUAUUGUAUAAACUAUUUGUUGUGUGAACUACCUAUCAUAUUUAGGAUCGGAUGUUUCAGAUAGGAUGGAAGAUGCGUAGGAAAUUGUGUGUGACAUUCUCAAUGAAUUCGUCCCGUCGCCGACGAGAUUCAUCAUGUAAGGCCUUUAAUAAUUUAAUUAAAUUUAUCCAGCAACAAUUUCAUGACUCUAGACCUGAACAAUUGUAACCUGCUGUUUUUUGGUUAUUAGUAUGCUUUGAGUUUGAGUGGCCUGGAGAUGUGGUUUGCACAAUGUUCUGUUCUGUCAUAUGCCAUAUUGAUAUGGAUAAAAUGUUAGCUUUUGGUAUGACCCAGAAUUAUGUUGCCCCACCAGCCUGAAAAUAUGAUAAAUAAAAGCAUGCAGUGCUCGUUUAUUUGGAUUCGGAGGCUUCGUUGUGCAGAUAAUUUACUUUGUUCCAUAAGAUCAUAUUUUGGAAGUGGCAUAACCAGACCCUUGAUGCUUUCUUGCUGCUGCUGUUGUAUUCUGUAAUGGAACUGUUAGAUAAGGUAGUCUGUCUCUAGCCAUAGGUCAUAGUGCAGAUUCAUUUUCUUUGCUAGGAUUUGAUAUUAUCUUACAACCUCUACGAACACUGAAUGGUUCAAGCAACAUACAUCUUUGUCCAACAACGCGACCACAAAUCCACAAUGGUUUCUCACUAUUGAAAAUACAACUCGAGUGACAUUGCAAGAUUGUGUACUUAUUUGGCCAUAUAUUUUUAAGAAAAUUCAUAUUUUUAUUAUGUAUACUUAUGUUUGAGAUGUGCAGUAUUAAACAGAAUCUUCAUUCAAAAUGUAGCUACUAAUAUUUGCACGUAUUUCUUUAAGACUUUAGAGUUUCGAACAAACUUAAUGAAAAUCUGUUUUUAUGAUUAUAUUACACGUGGGUUGCACAUGCACGAUUACUAGUUUAUUGAAGGGAACCAAGAUUGACCUCCAAUUGAACCUAGCUAGUACUAGUACGUAGAUGUGCAUCGACCCUGGAUGCACAUUGAUGAGCGCAGGUACCGCGCUGCCAUGUGCUAGCUGCAGGCCGAGGAGACCAGGACCAAUACACUUGCAGCGUCGAGACACAGUAUGAUGUUAACAUCUAUCUCAAUCCAUCCGUUCAUAAAUAUAAGUUUUUAAAGAAAUUUUAUUAAAUGACUACAUACAGAGAAAAAUGAGUUAAUCUAUACUCUAAAGUAUGUCUAUAUACAUUUGUAUAUAGUUCCUUAGUGAAAAUUCUAAAAAGACUUAUAUUUAAGAACGGAGGGAGUAGUACUUAGUAUAAUGCAUCUACUUAGUAUAAUGCUGGUGCCUUGUCACGGAUCAUAAAUAUAUUUUUACCAAUUGUAAACAUAAUCAUAAUGCAUAUUCAAAUUUGUAUGCAUAGAAAUUAUAGCAUGUAACAAGGAAAAGUAAUUAAAAUCCACUUAAAUGAUCUAACUAAUUAUCUGUUUCAAACUAAGAUGUAUUUUUAUACCUUGACGUCCCAGAUCUAGGAAGCGUUAUAAUGGAGUAUGAAAUAAAAUUAAGCUGAAACAUUUUUUUUCUACAUAGCAGAAAGCAUGAUUAAGUAGUGAUGAAUACAAACAAAAAAUAUCUUCAUCACACAUAUAGAUACAUAUGAGUCUUGGUGCAACUAAUGUGUGUCCUAGUCUGCUAGUAAUUUAUAUUCAUGAAGUGAGUUGAACACAACUAACAUUCGAAAGAAAGAAUAAAAUUGGUUUUUAAUUCCAUCAACGGUUUGAUUUGCUAAUUGAUUCUAUGCUUGAUUUUUAAAAUAUUUUCACGUGAAUGGCUGCUACAAACGAAAGUGAUGACUAUUGAGUAUUAUAGGACACAUUUCCUUAACGACAUUUGAAUGGACAUGUUUGAUUUCAAAAUAUAUCAUGUGUGGAUCUCUGUACAAUUGACAAGAUAUAUAAUAUGAUCGUGUCCACCAAUGCAUGUACGCGGCGGUAUGACAAAUCACCUUCUGCCACGUCCUUCCUCGACGUCAUGAUCCAUGCCCUGGCAUUCUCGAGCAUUGUGUCGAUGCCAUGGCCGACUGUGGUGUCCUCCUUUGUGUCGCACACGACGUCCCUCCGCACGGGCGCACGAAUGUAUAUGCUCAUAACAAAAAAUAUGGUAUUUUUAUUGUACUAGGAAACUUGUAAUUGUCAAUUAAUAGUAGAUAUAAUGAUAAUUAUAAAUGAUAUAGUGUGUGGGAUUAAGAUUUUUGUAUUGAGAAAUAUCUGACUUUGUUUUGGAAGUUCAUCGAGAAAAUCUUAUGUCGGUGUUUCAAGAA